UCGAACGGGAGUCCGGUAGGCAGCAAUGUCGGCCGGUGAGAGUGGCGGAAGGGCGAGGAACACGUGGCAACCUGUCUUGAGGUGGGGAAAACCGCUGGAAACGGCGGCUAAUACCGAAUGUAGCGCCCGCUCGCAUGAGCGGAGCGCCAAAGGGGGCGAAAGCUCCCCCUCUUCGAGGGGCCCGCGCACCAUCAGCUUGUUGGCGGGUAACGGCCCACCAAGGCUCACGGUUAGCUGGUCUGAGAGGAUGGCCAGCCGCACUGGGACUGAGAUACUGCCCAGACUCCUACGGGAGGCUGCAGUCGAGGAUCAUUUGCAAUGGGCGAAAGCCUGACAAUGCGACGCUGCGUGGAGGGAAUGAAGGCCCUCGGGUUGUAAACUCCUGUCAUGGGGGAAAAGGAAACCCUGCCCAAUACGCAGGGAAUUUGAUGGUACCCCAAGAGGAAGCGACGGCUAACUCUGUGCCAGCAGCUGC
rnacentral:rRNA from 1 species